UGUGUGUUUGUGUAAGGGCGCAUGGUGGAUGCCUUGGCAUGCUGAGCCGAUGAAGGACGUGUGAGUCUGCGUUAAGCCUCGGGGAGUUGACAACUAAGCGUUGAUCCGAGGAUGUCCGAAUGGGGAAACCCGGCCAUCGUUAUGGGUGGUCACCUCACGAUGAAUUCAUAGUCGUGGUGGAGGUUGACGCGGGGAAGUGAAACAUCUCAGUACCCGCAGGAGAGGAAAAUAAAUAAUGAUUCCGCUAGUAGUGGCGAGCGAACGUGGAUGAGGCUAAACCGUGUGUGUGUGAUACCUGACAGGGGUUGCGCAUGCGGUGUUGUGGGAUGCAUCUUGGUGGGGCUGUCACCUCAUCGCGCAUUAUCUCAAGUUGAGCGGGAGUGGUCUGGGAUGGCCUACCGGAGUGGGUGAGAGUCCCGUACGUUAAUAGCUUGUGGUGUGUGUUGGUGUUUUUCCCGAGUAGCAGCGGGCUCGUGAAAUCUGCUGUGAAUCUGCCGGGACCACCCGGUAAGCCUAAAUACUCAGUGUGACCGAUAGCGGAUAGUACCGUGAGGGAAUGGUGAAAAGUACCCCGGGAGGGGAGUGAAAUAGUACCUGAAACCAUGUGCUUACAAUCCGUCAGAGCACCUCUUGUGUGUGAUGGCGUGCCUUUUGAAGAAUGAGCCUGCGAGUCAGCGGCAUGUCGCGAGGUUAACCCGUGUGGGGUAGUCGUAGCGAAAGCGAAUCCUAACGAGGGUGUUGUUAGUGGCAUGUCCUGGACCCGAAGCGGAGUGAUCUACCCAUGGCCAGUGUGAAGCAGAGGUAAGACUUUGUGGAGGCGCGAACCCACUUAGGUUGAAAACUGAGGGGAUGAGUUGUGGGUAGGGGUGAAAGGCCAAUCAAACUCCGUGAUAGCUGGUUCUCCCCGAAAUGCAUUUAGGUGCAGCGUUGUGUGUUGCUUGCUGGAGGUAGAGCUACUGGUUGGUUGAGCGGGACGACAAUCUUAGCAAUGUCAGCCAAACUCCGAAUGCCAGUUAAGUUGAGCAUGGCAGUGAGACUGUGGGGGAUAAGCUUCAUAGUCGAGAGGGAAACAGCCCAGAUCGCCGGCUAAGGCCCCUAAGCGUGUACUAAGUGGAAAAGGAUGUGGGAUCGCGAAGACAGCCAGGAGGUUGGCUUAGAAGCAGCCAUCCUUGAAAGAGUGCGUAAUAGCUCACUGGUCGAGUGGUUCUGCGCCGACAAUGUAGUGGGGCUCAAGUACACCGCCGAAGCCGCGGCAACAACCCAUCCUUUGGGGUGGGUGUUGGGUAGGGGAGCGUCGUGCACUGCUGUGAAGCGUUACCGUGAGGGGGCGUGGAGUGUGUGCGAGUGAGAAUGCAGGCAUGAGUAACGAUUGAUGAGUGAGAAUCUCAUCCGCCGGAUGACUAAGGGUUCCUGGGUCAAGUUCGUCUUCCCAGGGUGAGUCGGGACCUAAGGCGAGGCCGACAGGCGUAGUCGAUGGACAAUCAGUUGAUAUUCUGGUACCCGUGUAUGUGCGCCCAUGUGUGAAUCAGUGAUACUAACCACCCGCGAUCAUCAUCGGACUGCAGUUUUGCUGUGGUUGGUGGUGGGAGUGCGUGGGGCCUGAUCUGGUAGUAGCCAAGUGAUGGGGUGACGCAGUGGGGUAGCCGCGCCACUUAUUGGAUUGUGGUGUAAGCGUGUGGCACGAGGGGAGUGGUAAAUCCGCCCCUCAAUGUGUGUGAGGCGUGAUGCGUAGCCCUUUGUGGGUGAAUGUGGUGAUCCCGUACUGUCGAGAAAAGCCUCUAGCGAUGUAUGUAUAUGGCCCGUACCCUAAACCGACACAGGUAGUCAGGUAGAGAAUACUAAGGCGUUCGGGUGAACUGUGGUUAAGGAACUCGGCAAAAUGCCCCCGUAACUUCGGGAGAAGGGGGGCCACUGUUGGUGAUAGAACAUUUCGUUUUUGAGCUGGUGGUGGUCGCAGAGAAUAGAGGGAAGCGACUGUUUAUUAAAAACACAGGUCCGUGCGAAAACGUUGAAGUUGAGGUAUACGGACUGACGCCUGCCCGGUGCUGGAAGGUUAAGAGGACCUGUUAGAUCUCCCUUGUGGGGGUCGAAGCGGAGAAUUUAAGCCCCAGUAAACGGCGGUGGUAACUAUAACCAUCCUAAGGUAGCGAAAUUCCUUGUCGGGUAAGUUCCGACCUGCACGAAUGGCGUAACGACUUCCCUGCUGUCUCAACCACAGGCCCGGUGAAAUUGCAGUACGAGUAAAGAUGCUCGUUACGCGCGGCAGGACGAAAAGACCCCGGGACCUUCACUAUAGCUUGGUAUUGGUGUUCGGUUCGGUUUGUGUAGGAUAGGUGGGAGACUGUGAUCAUGUGACGCUAGUUGUGUGUGAGUCGUUGUUGAAAUACCACUCUGAUCGGAUUGGAUACCUGAACCUUGGCCCAUGAUCUGGGUUGGGGACAGUGCCUGGUGGGUAGUUUAACUGGGGCGGUUGCCUCCCAAAAUGUAACGGAGGCGCCCAAAGGUUCCCUCAGCCUGGUUGGUAAUCAGGUGGUGAGUGUAAGUGCACAAGGGAGCUUGACUGUGAGAGUGACAACUCGAGCAGGGACGAAAGUCGGGACUAGUGAUCCGGCACCUACUUGUGGAAGUGGUGUCGCUCAACGGAUAAAAGGUACCCCGGGGAUAACAGGCUGAUCUUCCCCAAGAGUCCAUAUCGACGGGAUGGUUUGGCACCUCGAUGUCGGCUCGUCGCAUCCUGGGGCUGGAGUAGGUCCCAAGGGUUGGGCUGUUCGCCCAUUAAAGCGGCACGCGAGCUGGGUUUAGAACGUCGUGAGACAGUUCGGUCUCUAUCCGCCGCGCGCGUAGAAACUUGUGGAAGGCUGUCCCUAGUACGAGAGGACCGGGACGGACGUACCUCUAGUGUGCCAGUUGUUCCGCCAGGGGCAGGGCUGGUUGGCUACGUACGGAAGGGAUAACCGCUGAAAGCAUCUAAGCGGGAAGCCUGUUUCGAGAUGAGGUUUCGUGUGAGGUCCCCUGUAGAUGACGGGGUUGAUAGGCCAGAUCUGGAAGCAUUGUAAGGUGUGGAGGUGACUGGUACUAAUAGACCAACAAAACACACACA
rfam:Corynebacterium testudinoris strain DSM 44614, complete genome.